UACGUAGGGGGCAAGCGUUGUCCGGAUUUAUUGGGCGUAAAGAGCGUGUAGGCGGUUUGGUAGGUCCGUUGUGAAAACUCGAGGCUCAACCUCGAGACGUCGGUUGAAACCAUCUGGCUAGAGUCCGGAAGAGGAGUGUGGAAUUCCCGGUGUAGCGGUGAAAUGCGCAGAUAUCGGGAAGAACACCCGUGGCGAAGGCGGCACUCUGGACCAGUACUGACGCUCAUGCACGAAAGCGUGGGGAGCAAACAGG
rnacentral:rRNA from 1 species